rnacentral:rRNA from 1 species
UUCGCCCUUAGAGUUUGAUCCUGGCUCAGGAUGAACGCUGGCGGCGUGCUUAACACAUGCAAGUCGAACGGGAAACCUUUUAUUGAAGCUUCGGCCGAUUUAAAUUGUUUCUAGUGGCGGACGGGUGAGUAACGCGUGGGUAACCUGCCUUGUACAGGGGGAUAACAGUCAGAAAUGACUGCUAAUACCGCAUAAGCGCACAGAACUGCAUGGCUCGGUGUGAAAAACUCCGGUGGUAUGAGAUGGACCCGCGUCUGAUUAGGUAGUUGGUGGGGUAACGGCCUACCAAGCCGACGAUCCGUAGCCGACCUGAGAGGGUGACCGGCCACAUUGGGACUGAGACACGGCCCAGACUCCUACGGGAGGCAGCAGUGAGGAAUAUUGCGCAAUGGGGGAAACCCUGACCCAGCAACGCCGCGUGAGGGAUGAAGUUUUUCGGAUUGUAAACUUCUGUCCUCUGUGAAGAUAAUGACGGUACCAGAGUAAGAAGCUCCGGCUAACUACGUGCCAGCAGCCGCGGUAAUACGUAGGGAGCAAGCGUUAUCCGGAUUUACUGGGUGUAAAGGGAGCGUAGGCGGAUUGACAAGUCAGAAGUGAAAUCCAUGGGCUUAACCCAUGAACUGCUUUUGAAACUGUCAGUCUUGAGUGCAGUAGAGGUAGGUGGAAUUCCCAGUGUAGCGGUGAAAUGCGUAGAUAUUGGGAGGAACACCAGUGGCGAAGGCGGCUUACUGGGCUUUAACUGACGUUGAGGCUCGAAAGUGUGGGUAGCAAACAGGAUUAGAUACCCUGGUAGUCCACACUGUAAACGAUGAUUACUGGGUGUGGGGGGUCUAACCCUCCUCCGUGCCGCAGCUAACACAAUAUGUAAUCUCCGUGGGGAGUGUGACCGCACGGUUGUGACUCUCAGGAAUUGACGGGGGCCCGCACACGCACUGGAGUAUGUGGUUUAAUUUUACGCGACGCGAAGAGCCCUUCCAGGUCUUGACAUCUACCUAACGAAGCAGAGAUGCAUUAGGUGCCGUUCUCGGAAAGUCGAGACAGGCGGUGCAGUGUUGUGGUCAGCUCGUGUGGUGAGAUGUUGGGUCAAGUCCCGCAACGAGCCCAACCCUUGUGAUUAGUUCAUACGCAAGAGCACUCUAAUCAGACUGCCGUUGACAAACCGGAGGAAGGUGGGGACGACGUCAAAUCAUCAUGCCCUUUAUGACCUGGGCUACACACGUACUACAAUGGUGGUUAACAGAGGGAACCAAUCCCGGGAGGUGGAGCAAAACCCUAAAAUCGGUCUCAGUUCAGAUUGUAGUCUGCAACUCGCCUACAUGAAGCUGGAAUUGCUAGUAAUCGCGGAUCAGCAUGCCGCGGUGAAUACGUUCCCGGGCCUUGUACUCACCGCCCGUCA